rnacentral:rRNA from 1 species
UACAGAGACUGCAAACGUUAUUCGGAUUCACUAAACAUAAAGAAUGCACAGACGACCAGAUGUGUCAGGUGUGAAAGCCCGGGGCUUAACCCCGGAAUUACGCCUAAAACUAUCUGGCUAGAGUACUGGAGAGGGUAGCGGAAUUCACGGUGUAGCAGUGAAAUGCGUAGAUAUCGUGAGGAACACCAGAGGCGAAGGCGGCUACCUGGACAGUAACUGACGCUCAGGCACGAAAGCGUGGGGAGCAAAA